UGUAAAAAAACGACAGGUACCAGCGCGUAUGUGUGUCUAAUUCAACUAUCACCAGUGGGACAGAGACAGUGAGGUUGUAAUGCCAGGCAGGGAGCGAGAGCGAGAGGGAAGUAUAGGUGCGAGCAAAGCACGCGCAAGGCAAUUUACACUCAUUAUACAUUUGUCAUUUUACGAAAUGCAAAGAGCAGACACACACACAAGUAGAUAAAUGUCCACACACAUGUAUAGGACGCAGCGCACAAUCGUUCGCUCGCUCGCUCGCUCACACUUCGACGGCAGCGACCCCCCAAUAACAAAACCCAACAACAAUUGUGCCCCCAACGAGUCUGUGGCAAUUAAUUUAAGCGAAAAGAAAAGAAGAGAAGACGAGCGGAAGAGACGUAGAGCGCAUGCUCGGGUCGGGUCGGUCUGCUUUUUGUACAGUUGAACGUGCCAGAGUGAAAAAGAAGCAAAGAAGACACACAACUAAUAAGAAAAAACACGAGCGAAAGCAAUUUCAAGUGGAGCCCAAAAAGAAGAAACCACACACACACACGACAGUCGUUUGGCAAAGCUGAGAGCGAGAGAGCAUUAAUGCAAAUAUAUCAGAGGGGGAGUGGGGAGGCGGCAGCGGAACCUAGCAAGCGUAAAAAUAAUAUGGCGGCGGCUGAGAAUCGGAAAAAAAGCAACGGUCCCAUCAACAUCAGCCAACGCGUCACUGCCCGCGACAACAAAAGCAUAAGCAACAGCAAAAGCAAAAACAACAACAUCGGCAAUCAUCGACGGAAAACGAUGAAUGCUUGUGGAGCAAUGCGAAUGGAGGGGGGAAAGACACAAGCCCACAGCAAAGCAUGCAUACAAAUACACAAAUACACACGGCAUACAAAGAGGUUACAAAAUGAAAAAUGGAAUGCCAAAGACAGGCACAGUGGGACACGGGAAGUUGGCACGGAGUAAAGAAUAUUAAUGUACCAUG
rnacentral:lncRNA from 1 species